rnacentral:rRNA from 1 species
UGCAGUCGAGCGCAGGAAGCAAGCAGAUCCCCUUCGGGGGUGACGCUUGUGGAAUGAGCGGCGGACGGGUGAGUAACACGUGGGCAACCUGCCUGUAAGACUGGGAUAACCCCGGGAAACCGGGGCUAAUACCGGAUAAUACUUUUCUUUGCAUAAAGGAAAGUUGAAAGGCGGUUUCGGCUGCCACUUACAGAUGGGCCCGCGGCGCAUUAGCUAGUUGGUGAGGUAACGGCUCACCAAGGCGACGAUGCGUAGCCGACCUGAGAGGGUGAUCGGCCACACUGGGACUGAGACACGGCCCAGACUCCUACGGGAGGCAGCAGUAGGGAAUCUUCCGCAAUGGACGAAAGUCUGACGGAGCAACGCCGCGUGAGUGAUGAAGGUUUUCGGAUCGUAAAACUCUGUUGUUAGGGAAGAACAAGUCGGGUAGUAACUGACCCGGCCUUGACGGUACCUAACCAGAAAGCCCCGGCUAACUACGUGCCAGCAGCCGCGGUAAUACGUAGGGGGCAAGCGUUGUCCGGAAUUAUUGGGCGUAAAGCGCUCGCAGGCGGUCCUUUAAGUCUGAUGUGAAAUCUCGCGGCUCAACCGCGAACGGUCAUUGGAAACUGGAGGACUUGAGUACAGAAGAGGAGAGUGGAAUUCCACGUGUAGCGGUGAAAUGCGUAGAGAUGUGGAGGAACACCAGUGGCGAAGGCGACUCUCUGGUCUGUAACUGACGCUGAGGAGCGAAAGCGUGGGGAGCGAACAGGAUUAGAUACCCUGGUAG